CCCCACAAACCCUAGUGCUCCAGAUCCGCCACCCAUUCACGCGCUCCCUCUCCCCCAUCGCCGCCGCCACCCCGCCGAUCCGCCAUCCGACCCCGCCGCCCGCGCCCGCGCGCCACCAACUGCUUCUCCUCGCCUCCUGGAGGACGUCCGCCGCUCUUCCUCCGCCCGUCCCGGAGGCCUCGGUCCGCGCCCUCCUCCGCAGGGCUGCCGCGCUCGUCCAGCCCUCGGCGCCCGCGUCUGAGCGAGAGGAGCUCGCUGCUCAAGCAUGCACAAGAGCCAUGGCGCCCUCCCAAGCUCCUCCGUCUUCAUCGAAGCACCACAGGACCAAUAGCUCCACCGCGCGUGCCCGCCGGCGGCAAGAGUCCCAGGACAGUGAGCUAAGUCUCUCCCUUGCCUUCUCGUUUUCACGUGCUCCCUUUCUUCCCUUCCCUCGCUAACCUCCCGCUCUCUGUGUCCUUUCCUUGUUAUGACAGCCAACACCAUGGAUGGACUCUGUCCAGGAUCUCGCCGCUCGUACCCGCUUCCUCUGGCCACCGAAGCCUCUGACCAGCCUCGUCGUGUGGAGCUCCUCCCCCACCUGGCAGAUCCGGCCUCUCCUGCCCGUUGACCGCGCCGCCGGAGCCCUGCAUCGCCCCUCACUGCCGUGAUAUUCUCCUCCCUCAUGCAACUGGAGCACGGGAUGAGCGACUCCGACGACCGGAGGCAGAGGGCGGCGUGCGCGGAGAGGUACAGGAGGAGAGACGAGCCAGAGGAUAGCAAGAGGCCCGUCUCCGAGAUGGACGCCGAGAUAGAGGAGGAGUGCGGGAUCUGCAUGGAGCUCAACAGCAGGGUCAUGCUGCGCAACUGCAGCCACGACAUGUGCAUCAAGUGCUAUCAUCAAUGUCAAUGCCUCCAAUGUGGUCGACAUCGAGUGCAUCGGGGAUUCGGGGUCGUCUUCGAGAAGGAUAAGACCAGGGCCUCCAAUGGAUCAUUCAGUGCUCCACUUCUCCUCUUCUUCCUAACCAUUUCCUGUCUUCCUGCCGUCACAUGCAAUGGCUACUUGUCACCUCCUUCUUAAUUAGUACACAUGGAGCUUAAACCAAUUGUAUCUGGAAUUCAGUUGUAAGAAAGUGUCUAAUCUGAAACAAGGCAUGGGUGGGAAUUUGUUUGGUCUAGAGUACACUGCAAUAUGUUUCUUGUAUGCUUUAGCCACUGUUAGAUUACAGUACUACUACUACUAGUCUAUAUAUGCAACUUGUCUACAGUAAAAUUAUUUGACUUGUUAAAACUGCCACACAUAGUACUGCUACUAGUCUAUAUAUGCAACCAGUACCUAUGUUUCUCAAUAUAAAGACGUUUUGGUAGUUUAAAUGAUGGAUGGAGUGAUAGUUACAGUAGGUUUGAAUCCCAAUUUUUCUGUGGUAGCACAACAACUGUUGUGUCGCUCCUUAUGUUAGCCGUGUUAUUCUUCUGACCUGGCUGUACAGACACCUAUGGUUCAUAGCUAGCUGGCUAUAGCUUCAUCCUGUUGGCCUUUUUUGAACAUUGUGCCGUUGGUUCUCAUUUCACCUCAUUUUAUUGGUACAUACCUUCAGAAUUGUUUCCAUACCAAGGGCCAUGUUAUUGUUUGAAUUUCAGUUUUGUUCUGGUAAUACAGAAAGUGCUCUGUUGGUUCUCAGUUUACCUCGUUUUAUUGGUAUAUAUUCAUGCAGGCGGAGCAGCGGGUGGGGGAGUAAAAUCAGGCGAUGGCCAGCAAGUCAAGGCCGUCACAACGGCCGGCAUGCACCACAAGGAGGAGGAUGGCCUCUUCACCUACUCUGGCCCCGUCCUCCCCGACUCCUGGUCGUGCCCCUGUGCAUGAUAGCGCCCUCACUCUUCUACUUCUACUACCUACUGUUGCUCUUGUGUUGCUAUUAUACGAUGGUAGUAUGCUGCUGCUGAUGUUGUUGAUGCCAUGCUUUUUGUCUUGUCAUGCACUGAAAUUAAUUGGUAGCAUUAGAAGCAAAUUUCCCAUCAUCCUUUAGCUGCACUAGUCUUGUGUAUUUGGCAGGCAUAUGCAUAUCUGUAGCUCUUCCUUUUUUUGAUAAUUCACUCAUCUGUAGCAGUCACAUAUCUGUCCUCGUAACAUCUGCUUGAUCAAUGUUGUUUUGUUCUCAUAUAGAAUGUCCAUUUGUUGCUGUC